rnacentral:rRNA from 1 species
GAUCGAACGCUGGCGGCGUGUCCUAAUACAUGCAAGUCGAACGCGAAAUAAUUGUAUCGGAGCUUGCUCCACCGAAAUUUUUCGAGUGGCGAACGGGUGAGUAACACGUAGAGAGACCUACCCUGAAGCGGCGGGACAACACUUGGAAACAGGUGCUAAUACCGCAUAAAAGUAAGAAUCGCAUGAUUUUUAUUUAAAAGGCGCAAAUGCGCCACUUUUGGAUGGCUCUGCGGUGCAUUAGCUAGUUGGUGAGGUAAUAGCUUACCAAGGCCGUGAUGCAUAGCCGACCUGAGAGGGUGAUCGGCCACAUUGGGACUGAGACACGGCCCAAACUCCUACGCGGAGGCAGCAGUAGGGAAUCUUCGGCAAUGGACGAAAGUCUGACCGAGCAACGCCGCGUGAGUGAAGAAGGUUCUUCGGAUCGUAAAUACUCUGUUGUAAGUAAAGAACAAGGAGGAGAGUGGAAAGCUCCUCCCUUGACGGUCACUUACCAGAACAGUCCCGGCUAACUACGUGCCAGCAGCCGCGGUAAUACGUAGGGGACAAGCGUUGUCCGGAUUUAUUGGGCGUAAAGCGAGCGCAGGCGGUUUGUUUAAGUCUGAUGUGAAAUCCCUCGGCUUAACCGAGGAAGGUCAUUGGAAACUGGACGAACUUGAGUACAGAAGAGGAGAGUGGAAUUCCAUGUGUAGCGGUGAAAUGCGUAGAUAUAUGGAGGCAACACCAGUGGCGAAGGCGGCUCUCUGGUCUGUUACUGACGCUGAGGCUCGAAAGCUGUGGGGAGCAAACAGGAUUAGAUACCCUGGUAGUCCACGCCGUAAACGAUGAGUGCUAAGUGUUGGAGGGUUGUCCGCCCUUCAGUGCUGCAGCAAACGCAUUAAGCACUCCGCCUGGGCGAGUACGACCGCAAGGUUGAAACUCAAAUGGAAUUGACGGGAGGCCCGCACAAGCGGUGGAGCAUGUGGUUUAAUUCGAAGCAACGCGAAUGAACCUUACCAGGUCUUGACAUCCUCAGACCGACUCUAGAGAUAGAGAUUUCCCUUCGCCAGACUGAGAGACAGGUGGUGCAUGGUUGUCGUCAGCUCGUGUCCGUGAGAUGUUGGGUUAAGUCCCGCAACGAGCGCAACCCUUAUUGUUAGUUGCCAUCAUUAAGUUGGGCACUCUAGCGAGACUGCCGGUGAUAAACCCGGAGGAAGGUGGGGAUGACGUCAAAUCAUCAUGCCCUUUAUGAUCUGGGCUACACACGUGCUACAAUGGGAAGUACAACGAGUUGCGAACUCGCAAGGGUACAGCUAAUCUCUGAAAACUUCUCUCAGUUCGGAUUGUAGGCUUGCAACUCGCCUACAUGAAUACGGAAUCGCUAGUAAUCGCGGAUCAGCACGCCGCUGGUGAAUACGUUCCCGGAGC